CCUACGGGUGGCAGCAGUGGGGAAUAUUGGGCAAUGGACGCAAGUCUGACCCAGCAACGCCGCGUGAAGGAAGAAGGCUUUCGGGUUGUAAACUUCUUUUAAGGGGGAAGAGGAGAAGACGGUACCCCUUGCAUAAGCCACGGCUAACUACGUGCCAGCAGCCGCGGUAAUACGUAGGUGGCAAGCGUUGUCCGGAUUUACUGGGUGUAACGGGCGUGCAGCCGGGACGACAAGUCAGAUGUGAAAUCCGCGGGCUUAACCCGCGAACUGCAUUUGAAACUAUAGGUCUUGAGUGCCGUAGAGGUAAUCGGAAUUCCUUGUGUAGCGGUGAAAUGCGUAGAUAUAAGGAAGAACACCAGUGGCGAAGGCAGAUUACUGGACGGUAACUGACGGUGAGGCGCGAAAGCGUGGGGAGCAAACAGGAUUAGAUACCCGGGUAGUC
rnacentral:rRNA from 1 species